GCUGGCGCCAAUAGAGAGGGUGAUACACCUGUUCCCAUCCCGAACACAGAAGUUAAGCCCCUCAUCGCCGAUGGUACUGCAGAGUUCGCUCUGUGGGAGAGCAGGACGGUGCCACAC
rfam:Leptonema illini DSM 21528 genomic scaffold Lepilscaffold_1, whole genome shotgun sequence.